rnacentral:siRNA from 1 species
CUAAUACCCUUUUCAUGAUGCC